GGAGGAAUUUCGUCAAACAAUGCUGUUUCGUUAACGGGGCAUCUCGACAGGCAAAAAUUUAUGGCAUACUAACUGUUAAAUCUGCUGCUAUUCGGCCCUGUCGUAGAAUCCGACUUGGAAUUGGUUUUUGCCGGGAAUUAAAACCGAUAUCGGUUUCAUUUGGUGUCGCGAAAUGCUAUCGGAAUAAGCUUUUUUCGAACAUGAGCAAAACCGAUAUUCGAAUCAGCUGUUCCAUUGAUGUGUUAAAUUAAAUUUACGCUUAUUUGUAAAAAAUUGAGCAUUUUUAUAAUAUUUGAACUGUUUUGUGAAAAUUCAAAGAAAAUAACUUAAAUAUAUUAUGGCAGCUGCAAUUGGCAUAUUGGGUUGGGUUUAGUAUCGCGCCGGUUAAUUUUCGCUCACUGUACCUAAACGAGAGAACCAAAUUGAAAAUUUUAAACAGGCCUGUAUGCUUAAAUUAUCGAACUUUAUUUUAAAACAUAUUUUAUAAAAAUCGGUUCACAAAUUUUUCCAAAAAAUUCACUUUAAAAAAUGCUAAUUUUUGCAAAUUUCUCAAUAUAUGCUAGUGUAUUUUCACCUGUUGUGCAUUGUACCAAACCAAUUAUGCAUACAUUUUCACGCACAUAUAUUACUUAUGAAUUAUAAAAACCACUAGUAAUGUUUUUAAUUACUUUUUAUUGUUAAUUUCUUUGUAAAUCUUUAAAUAAAAUACACCUUUUUCUGCAUUGAGUUCAAUAAUGCGAAAAACCAAAAUGACUGCCUAAUGUGAACUGUCAAAUUGCCGAGAAAGCACGAACAAAAGGAAAUAAAUUAAACCCAGUUAGCAAUAAAUGUAUGAAGUGAACGCGAAAAGGUGUUCAAUGCUAAAAUACUGUGGACGGCAUAGCCGGUGUUGGACCGGCCAGGGUUAUUUUUUUAAAGCGCGCCCGAAGGCCGCCCACCCAAAAAGGAGUUCUAUGCGAAAAAAAAUCUGAUACACCCCGGUGUAUAUACAAUGCACUGAAACAUUUUGGUUUUCUUUAUUUUGAUUUCUUGUCCAUAUAAAAAUGUUGGCUGGGUUGCAUUGCUUUCAGUUUGUAUGGAAAAAUGAGCAAAAACACUGAUUUGGGUUUAUUAAAAAGUUCGAUCCUUCCUCUUUCCAAUAAGGUGGCGUGAGGGGGGAUAGCCCCCCCUGUUUUUCUCCAUAAACGAUACUAAACCGGCGCGAUACUAAACAUUUCCCGCCAUAUUACUUAUGAUGGAGGAGGAGCAGCAACACAGUUUAAAGCGGCGAAUAUUACGAGAUAAGAGCAACCCUCUCGAGAUGCCGGAGUCAACGUAUACAAAACUUUACUUCAAUGGCUAUGUGUUUAUAACUCACUUAUUUGUAGAUUUAUUGCUCAAUAUCGCUUAAACAAAGAAGCUUUUGUUGUGGUAUUGGACAAAAUUCAGCCACGCUUACGUUCAUCGACGAUUCCCGCAGUGCUUCAACUUGCUGCAACGCUUCGUUUUUUUGGCGAAGGCCCAUAUCAGCGAUUAGUGGGAAAUGAUGCAAACAUAAGUAUGGCAAGAAGCACUAUAUCUGAAGUGCUAACACGAGUGAUAAAAACAUUAGAACAUUCUAUAUGUCAUCAAUGUGUAAGCGAUGGCAACUCUGUUGCCCAUCAAGUGUCAAAUAAAAUAAAGCAAGUGGCAGCAACCAAAGACACAGUCAACGAGCAACCGUCAGCGAGUGAGCAACAUAAACGAAAUAUUUGAGAACAUCCAGUAAAGUUGAAUAAGUGUAACAUUUUUCUUAUAUUCACAAUAAAGUUUUGUAUUAUUAUAUAUAAGUGUUUGACUGCGCACACGAGUACGGUGUUUCUCUACAAAUUGAUACAACUUGCAAUGGGAGCCAGUGAAAAACAACACUCCAAAGACUAUUUUUAUAACAAAUAUAGAAUUCCUGGCAUCAUUGGCUGCAUCGAUGGAACACAUAUUAAAGUUAUAAAGCCUUCCACUGAUGAACACCUCUAAUUUCAUAGAAAAGGAUUCUUCAGUACGAACCCUAUGAUUGUUUGCGACAGUAAUAUGACGAUUCGUGCAGUAGAUGCAAGGUAUCCUGGACCCAGUCAUGAUGCGUUUGUUUGGAGCAUAAGCACCGUUCGACAGCACUUUCUUAGGGAGUACGAAAUUGGCGAUCGAACUUCCAGGUUACUAGGAGACAGUGGAUAUGGUAUUGAACCGUUCUUAUUAACUCCAUACAGAGAUCCUGAGUACGGCUCACUGCAAAAUACUUUUAACAGGGCUCAUUCUUCGGCAGGCAAUGUGAGUGAAAGAACGAUAGGCCUUUUAAAAAGUCGCUUUCGAUGCUUACAAGGUACAUUGCAAUAUAACCCACAAAAGGUGGUUAAAAUUGUCAAUGUUUGUUACGCACUGCACAACAUCUGUCGGUGCUAUAACAUUGAAUGCCCCAAUAUAGAAACUAUCACCGUUUCCACAGAGGUUUACGAGGAAAAUUCUGAGGGCCAACGGAUCCGAAACGAAAUAGCAAACGCUCUUUAAAUCUAUUGUUCUUUUGUUAAGGCACACAACAUGAAAUUGUUUAUUUAAAUACGUAAAUCCUUAAAUUAAUUAAAUUAUAGAAUUCAUUGUACAUA